rnacentral:rRNA from 1 species
GACAGAGGGUGGAAACGUUGUUCGGAAUUACUGGGCGUAAAGCGCGUGUAGGCUGCUCCGCAAGUCGGAUGUGAAAGCCCUGGGCUCAACCUAGGAAGUGCAUUCGAUACUGCGGAGCUGGAGUCCUGGAGAGGAAGGCGGAAUUCUCGGUGUAGAGGUGAAAUUCGUAGAUAUCGAGAGGAACACCGGUGGCGAAGGCGGCCUUCUGGACAGUGACUGACGCUGAGACGCGAAAGCGUGGGGAGCAAACAGG